rnacentral:rRNA from 1 species
UACGUAGGGUGCAAGCGUUGUCCGGAGUUAUUGGGCGUAAAGAGCUCGUAGGCGGUGUGUCGCGUCGGCCGUGAAAACCUGGGGCUCAACUCUGGGCGUGCGGUCGAUACGGGCAUCACUUGAGUUCGGCAGGGGAGACUGGAAUUCCUGGUGUAGCGGUGAAAUGCGCAGAUAUCAGGAGGAACACCGGUGGCGAAGGCGGGUCUCUGGGCCGAUACUGACGCUGAGGAGCGAAAGCGUGGGGAGCAAACAGG